rnacentral:rRNA from 1 species
GUAGCUGGACUGAGAGGUUGGACAGCCACACUGGGACUGAGACACGGCCCAGACUCCUACGGGAGGCAGCAGUGGGGAAUAUUGGACAAUGGGGGCAACCCUGAUCCAGCGAUGCCGCGUGUGUGAAGAAGGCCUGAGGGUUGUAAAGCACUUUCAGUGGGGAGGAGAGGUUGCAGGUUAAGAGCCAGUGAUUGAGACGUUACCCACAGAAGAAGCACCGGCUAACUCCGUGCCAGCAGCCGCGGUAAUACGGAGGGUGCGAGCGUUAAUCGGAAUUAUUGGGCGUAAAGGGUGCGUAGGUGGUUGAAUAAGUUAUCUGUGAAAACCCUGGGCUUAACUUGGGGGAGAGAGAUAAAACUGUCUGACUAGAGUAUGG